GAUCCUGGCUCAGGAUGAACGCUAGCGAUAGGCUUAACACAUGCAAGUCGAGGGGCGGCAUGGUCUUAGCUUGCUAAGACUGAUGGCGACCGGCGCACGGGUGCGUAACGCGUAUGCAACUUGCCUCACAGAGGGGGAUAACCCGUCGAAAGACGGACUAAUACCGCGUACACUUAUCGGAGGGCAUCCUUUGGUAAGGAAAUGAAAUUCGCUGUGAGAUAGGCAUGCGUCCCA
rnacentral:rRNA from 1 species